GCCGAGGUAGCCAAGCGGCCUACGGCGCUGGUCUUGAAAACCAGUGGGGCUUACGUCCCGCAAGGGUUCAAAUCCCUUCCUCGGCG
rfam:Candidatus Syntrophoarchaeum caldarius isolate BOX2 BOX2_8_reassembly_contig06, whole genome shotgun sequence.